rnacentral:piRNA from 1 species
UGUGUGUGUCCGCUCUGGCUGGUCACCAA